UUUCCGUAGGUGAACCUGCGGAAGGAUCAUUACUGAAUGUUGGCCCUCUGGGUCCCACCUCCCUCCCGUGUUCUUUGUACCUUGUUGUCUCGGUGAGUCUGCCUCACUGCCGCCGGGGGUUAUCUGCCCUCGGGCCCGCGCUCGCCUAACACACCCUUGAACUCUGUCUGAAGUUUGCAUUCUAUGCGAAAACUAAAUAAAUUAAAACUUUCAACAACGGAUCUCUUGGUUCCG
rnacentral:misc_RNA from 1 species